ACGAACGCUGGCGGCGGGCCUAAUACAUGCAAGUCGAACGAAGGCUUCGGCCUUAGUGGCGCACGGGUGCGUAACGCGUGGGAAUCUGCCCUUGGGUUCGGAAUAACAGCGAGAAAUUGCUGCUAAUACCGGAUAAUGACGUAAGUCCAAAGAUUUAUCGCCCAAGGAUGAGCCCGCGUUGGAUUAGCUAGUUGGUGGGGUAAAAGCCUACCAAGGCGACGAUCCAUAGCUGGUCUGAGAGGAUGAUCAGCCACACUGGGACUGAGACACGGCCCAGACUCCUACGGGAGGCAGCAGUGGGGGAAUCUUAG
rnacentral:rRNA from 1 species